rnacentral:rRNA from 1 species
UACGUAGAGUGCGAGCGUUGUCCGGAAUUAUUGGGCGUAAAGAGCUCGUAGGCGGCUUGUCGCGUCGGAUGUGAAAGCCCGGGGCUUAACUCCGGGUCUGCAUUCGAUACGGGCAGGCUAGAGUUCGGUAGGGGAGAUCGGAAUUCCUGGUGUAGCGGUGAAAUGCGCAGAUAUCAGGAGGAACACCGGUGGCGAAGGCGGAUCUCUGGGCCGAUACUGACGCUGAGGAGCGAAAGCGUGGGGAGCGAACGGG